rnacentral:tRNA from 1 species
UCCUUGGUGACUGAGAUGGGAAAGUAUCUGCCUGCAAUGCAGGAGACCUGGGUUCAAUCCCUUGGUCAGGAA